UGGGGAAUAUUGCACAAUGGGCGGAAGCCUGAUGCAGCGACGCCGCGUGAGGGAUGACGGCCUUCGGGUUGUAAACCUCUUUCAGCAGGGACGAAGCGCAAGUGACGGUACCUGCAGAAGAAGCGCCGGCCAACUACGUGCCAGCAGCCGCGGUAAGACGUAGGGCGCGAGCGUUGUCCGGAUUUAUUGGGCGUAAAGAGAUCGUAGGCGGCUUGUCGCGUCGACUGUGAAAACCCGCGGCUCAACCGCGGGCUUGCAGCCGAUACGGGCAGGCUAGAGUUCGGUAGGGGAGACUGGAAUUCCGGGUGUAGCGGUGAAAUGCGCAGAUAUCAGGAGGAACACCGAUGGCGAAGGCAGGUCUCUGGGCCGAUACUGACGCUGAGAAGCGAAAGCGUGGGGAGCGAACAGG
rnacentral:rRNA from 1 species